UAUAAAAGUAUAAAAAUUAAUAAAUUAGUAUUAGUAUAUGAUCUUGAAAAUUAAAUAUUUUGGCGGUAUUUUAGUCUUUUCAGAGGAACCUGUUCUAUAAUUGAUAAUCCACGUUAAAUUAAACUUAUUUUUUAAAUUUGUAUAUCGUCGUGAUUGAAUAUUUUAUUAGAAUAAUAAUAUUCAAGAUUUACAAUAAUAAAAAAAUUCAGAUCAAGAUGCAGUUUAUAAAUAAGUAGAGAUGGGUUACAAUAAUAAUAAUUUAAUGGAUAAUUAAUUGAAAAUUAAUUUAAAAUUGGAUUUGAAAGUAAUUUAUAAUAUUUUUAUUAAAUGAUUUAAGCUCUAAAAUAUGU
rnacentral:rRNA from 1 species